GGUUUUAUAGUGUAGUGGUUAGCACGGCAGACUCUGACUCUGCAAACCUGAGUUCGAAUCUCAGUAAAACCA